rnacentral:rRNA from 1 species
UACGUAGGGCGCAAGCGUUGUCCGGAAUUAUUGGGCGUAAAGAGCUCGUAGGCGGUUUGUCGCGUCUGCUGUGAAAACCUAAGGCUCAACCUUGGGCUUGCAGUGGGUACGGGCAGACUAGAGUGCGGUAGGGGUGACUGGAAUUCCUGGUGUAGCGGUGGAAUGCGCAGAUAUCAGGAAGAACACCCGUGGCUAAGGCGGCUCUCUAGUACGGGUACUGGACGCUGAGACGCGAAAGCCGUGGGGAGCGAACAGG